rnacentral:rRNA from 1 species
GUGAGUAAUGCAUAGGAAUCUACCCAGUCGUGGGGGAUAACCUGAGGAAACUCAGGCUAAUACCGCAUACGUCCUACGGGAGAAAGCGGGGGCUCUUCGGACCUCGCGCGAUUGGAUGAGCCUAUGUCGGAUUAGCUGGUUGGUGAGGUAACGGCUCACCAAGGCGACGAUCCGUAGCUGGUCUGAGAGGAUGAUCAGCCACACCGGGACUGAGACACGGCCCGGACUCCUACGGGAGGCAGCAGUGGGGAAUAUUGGACAAUGGGCGCAAGCCUGAUCCAGCCAUGCCGCGUGUGUGAAGAAGGCUUUCGGGUUGUAAAGCACUUUCAGCGAGGAAGAAAGCGUGCCGGCCAAUACCCGGUACGGACGACAUCACUCGCAGAAGAAGCACCGGCUAACUCCGUGCCAGCAGCCGCGGUAAUACGGAGGGUGCAAGCGUUAAUCGGAAUUACUGGGCGUAAAGCGCGCGUAGGCGGCGUGUCACGCCGGGUGUGAAAGCCCCGGGCUCAACCUGGGAACGGCAUCCGGAACGGGCAGGCUAGAGUGCAGGAGAGGAAGGUAGAAUUCCCGGUGUAGCGGUGAAAUGCGUAGAGAUCGGGAGGAAUACCAGUGGCGAAGGCGGCCUUCUGGACUGACACUGACGCUGAGGUGCGAAAGCGUGGGUAGCAAACAGGAUUAGAUACCCUGGUAGUCCACGCCG